UUACAGCCAUAUCAACAUUUAUACACCGGUUCUCGUACGAUCACCGAAGUUAAGCAUCGUCCAGUCUAGCCAAUACCACGAGGGGUGACCGCUUGGGAAAACCAGGUGCUGUAA